GCGUGCGUUUGGGAGGCGUUCGACUUUUGUCGAGGCUCGGGGUCAGAGCUAGUCUCCCAAACUCUGC
rnacentral:sRNA from 22 species